rnacentral:rRNA from 1 species
UACGAAGGGGGCUAGCGUUGUUCGGAAUUACUGGGCGUAAAGCGUGCGUAGGCGGCUUCUCAAGUCAGGGGUGAAAGCCCAGAGCUUAACUCUGGAAUUGCCUUUGAGACUGAGAGGCUUGAGUACGGGAGAGGUGAGUGGAAUUCCCAGUGUAGAGGUGAAAUUCGUAGAUAUUGGGAAGAACACCGGUGGCGAAGGCGGCUCACUGGCCCGUAACUGACGCUCAUGCACGACAGCGUGGGGAUCAAACAGG